UAAGUGCUGAAAGCAUCUAAGCACGAAACUUGCCCCGAGAUGAGUCUUCCCUGAGACUUUGAGUCUCCUGAAGGAACGUUAAAGACGAUGACGUUGAUAGGCCGGGUGUGUAAGCGCAGCGAUGCGUUGAGCUAACCGGUACUAAUGAACCGUGAGGCUUAACCUUACAACGCCGAAGCUGUU
rnacentral:rRNA from 2 species